rnacentral:rRNA from 1 species
ACCCGCACAAGCGGUGGAUGAUGUGGAUUAAUUCGAUGCAACGCGAAAACCUUACCUACCCUUGACAUGUCUGGAACCUUGCUGAGAGGCGAGGGUGCCUUCGGGAGCCAGAACACAGGUGCUGCAUGGCUGUCGUCAGCUCGUGUCGUGAGAUGUUGGGUUAAGUCCCGCAACGAGCGCAACCCUUGUCAUUAGUUGCCAUCAUUUAGUUGGGCACUCUAAUGAGACUGCCGGUGACAAACCGGGAGGAAGGUGGGGAUGACGUCAAGUCCUCAUGGCCCUUAUGGGUAGGGCUUCACACGUCAUACAAUGGUAGGUACAGAGGGCUGCGAAGCCGCGAGGUGGAGCGAAUCCCAGAAAACCUGUCUCAGUCCGGAUUGAAGUCUGCAACUCGACUUCAUGAAGGCGGAAUCGCUAGUAACCGCGAAUCAGCAGGUCGCGGUGAAUACGUUCCCGGGCCUU